rnacentral:rRNA from 1 species
CAGUAGCCGCGGGAAUACGAAGGUCCCGAGCGUUGUUCGGAAUCACUGGGCGUAAAGGGAGCGUAGGCGGCGUGGUAAGCCAGAUGUGAAAUCCCGGGGCUCAACCCCGGAACUGCAUCCGAUACUGCCAUGCUAGAGGAUUGGAGAGGUAGCUGGAAUUCUUGGUGUAGCAGUGAGAUGCGUGGAGAUCAAGAGGAACACUAGUGGCGAAAGCGAGCUACUGGACAAUAACUGACGCUGAGGCUCGAAGGCCAGGGUAGCGAAAGGGAUUAGAUACCCCCGUAGUCCCUGUCUCUUAUAC